AAAGGUAAGCUACUAAGAGCGAAUGGUGGAUGCCUUGACUGGUAGAGGCGAUGAAGGACGUACUAGACUGCGAUAAGCUAGGUGGAGCUGUCAAGAAGCUUUGAUGCCUAGAUUUCCGAAUGGGGCAACCCAGUAUAUAGAGAUAUAUACUACCAUAAUGGAGCGAACGAGGGGAAUUGAAACAUCUUAGUA
rnacentral:rRNA from 1 species